rnacentral:lncRNA from 1 species
CAUCAUACCAGUGUUGGAAAUUGUAGAGAGACUGAAACAAAUUUAUUACAUUUGAAUUAACAUUGCAAUAAUGUCAGACACUCUGACAGUAAAUAUACUGUUAAGGUCUGGUAAAAUACUUCUUAAAGUCAGGUUUCAAUGUUAACAAAUAAUUGUUAUGUUGGUCACACAAUUUUUACCAGGGAUAAGAAACAGGGCCAA